rnacentral:rRNA from 1 species
GAUGAACGCUGGCGGCGUGCCUAAUACAUGCAAGUCGAGCGAACAGACGAGGAGCUUGCUCCUCUGACGUUAGCGGCGGACGGGUGAGUCACACGUGGAUAACCUACCUAUAAGACUGGGAUAACUUCGGGAAACCGGCGCUAAUCCCGGAUAAUAUAUUGAACCGCAUGGUUCAAUAGUGAAAGACGGUUUUGCUGUCACUUAUAGAUGGAUCCGCGCCGCAUUAGCUAGUUGGUACGGUAACGGCUUACCAAGGCAACGAGGCGUAGACGAGCUGACAGGGGGAUCGGCCGCACGGGAACGGAAACAGGGUCCAGACGCCUACGGGAGGGAGCAGUAGGGAAUCGUCCGCAAUGGGCGAAAGCCUGACGGAGCAACGCGGCGUGAGAGAUGAAGGUCUUCGGAGCGUAAAACUCUGUUAUUAGGGAAGAACAAAUGUGUAAGUAACUAUGCACGUCUUGACGGUACCUAAUCAGAAAGCCACGGCUAACUACGUG